rnacentral:rRNA from 1 species
UACGUAGGGUGCAAGCGUUGUCCGGAAUUAUUGGGCGUAAAGAGCUCGUAGGCGGUCUGUCGCGUCUGCUGUGAAAACUCAGGGCUUAACCCUGAGCUUGCAGUGGGUACGGGCAGACUAGAGUGCGGUAGGGGAGACUGGAAUUCCUGGUGUAGCGGUGAAAUGCGCAGAUAGUCAGGAGGGAACACCGGUGGGCGAAGGCGGGUCUCUGGGCAGUAACUGAC